GAUGAACGCUGGCGGCGUGCCUAAUACAUGCAAGUCGAGCGAACAGACGAGAGUGCUUGCACUCUCUGACGUUAGCGGCGGACGGGUGAGUAACACGUGGGUAACCUACCUAUAAGACUGGGAUAACUUCGGGAAACCGGAGCUAAUACCGGAUAAUAUUUAGCUUCGCAUGAAGCAAUAGUGAAAGACGGUUCUGCUGUCACUUAUAGAUGGACCCGCGGUGUAUUAGCUAGUUGGUGAGGUAACGGCUCACCAAGGCAACGAUACAUAGCCGACCUGAGAGGGUGAUCGGCCACACUGGGACUGAGACACGGCCCAGACUCCUACGGGAGGCAGCAGUAAGGAAUCUUCCGCAAUGGACGAAAGUCUGACGGAGCAAUGCCGCGUGAGUGAAGAAGGUUUUCGGAUCGUAAAACUCUGUUGUAAGGGAAGAACAAGUACGUUAGUAACUGAACGUACCUUGACGGUACCUUACCAGAAAGCCACGGCUAACUACGUG
rnacentral:rRNA from 1 species